CGGAAUAGCUCAGUUGGUAGAGCAGAG
rnacentral:tRNA from 1 species